AACGUUGGAACGACUGCUAAUACCCGAUGUGCCGAGAGGUGAAAGAUUUAUCGUCUGAAGAAGGGCUCGCGGCUGAUUAGCUAGUUGGUAGGGUAAAGGCUUACCAAGGCAACGAUCAGUAACUGGUCUGAGAGGAUGAGCAGUCACACUGGAACUGAGAAACGGUCCAGACUCCUACGGGAGGCAGCAGUGGGGAAUUUUCCGCAAUGGGCGCAAGCCUGACGGAGCAACGCCGCGUGAGGGAUGAAGGCCUCUGGGCUGUAAACCUCUUUUAUCAAGGAAGAAGAUUGACGGUACUUGAUGAAUAAGCCACGGCUAAUUCCGUGCCAGCAGCCGCGGUAAUACGGGAGUGGCAAGCGUUAUCCGGAAUUAUUGGGCGUAAAGCGUCCGCAGGCGGUCUUGAAAGUCUGUUGUUAAAGCGUGGAGCUCAACUCCAUUUCAGCAAUGGAAACUAGAAGACUAGAGUGUGGUAGGGGCAGAGGGAAUUCCCGGUGUAGCGGUGAAAUGCGUAGAUAUCGGGAAGAACACCAGUGGCGAAGGCGCUCUGCUGGGCCAUAACUGACGCUCAUGGACGAAAGCCAGGGGAGCGAAAGGGAUUAGUCCC
rnacentral:rRNA from 1 species